ACGAACCGUACGAACGUUAUUCGGAAUUACUGGGCUUAAAGGGUGCGUAGGCUGCGCGGAAAGUUGGGUGUGAAAGCCCUCAGCUCAACUGAGGAACUGCACUCAAAACUACCGUGCUCGAGGGAGACAGAGGUAAGCGGAACUCAAGGUGGAGCGGUGAAAUGCGUUGAUAUCUUGAGGAACACCGGUGGCGAAAGCGGCUUACUGGGUCUUUUCUGACGCUGAGGCACGAAAGCCAAGGUAGCAAACGGGAUUAGAUACCCCGGUAGUCUUGGCUGUAAACGAUGAGCACUUGAUUGAAGGGUCCUCCAUAGCCUUUCAGUCGUAGCGAAAGUGUUAAGUGCUCCGCCUGGGGAGUAUGGUCGCAAGGCUG
rnacentral:rRNA from 1 species